AUUGAUCUGUGUGUAUCCCAGUGUUCCUCUGGGGUUCUGUCUAAACACCAACCAUCUUCUCUUGGAAUGGGCCCCAGGCAAGGCUUGCAGCAAUAUAGCCUGGACCCAGAAAAGGGAAAACGAUAAGGAAAUUCUGUCUGGUAGGUGCAAAGGGCUUCAUGGAUUUGGAAACCUGGAGGCAGGAACAUAGCAGAUUUAAGGGGUACCCAGCUGUGGAAGGUCAUUCCUGAGAAGUGGGGGCUUGUUUUAUGAAACCUUAAAGGCCAAACGGACUGUCCCAUUUUGGGGAUCAGGACAUCCCUGUCCUUAUCUCCUGUCAUAGCUGUCCAACUGCAGGGUAAGGAGCAAGUUGUGAGGAAAGGUCCUCAGAACAUGGGAUUCCACAUGAGGAAUCCUUAGGCUGCCAGGAAGCCAGAGGGGUUUAGAGGUGCUCAGCUUUGAGCCCCAGUAUGCACUAUGCUUAAGCUCUGACGACUCUUGCGUGCAGCGAGGAGGUCCUCCCUGACAUGCUCAGCAUCCCGCAGUGAUUCCUCUCAUAGCUCUGGGAUGGGGCUUGGUUAGGGUGUCGUGAUGGAAAUAAACCUGAACCUGUUGCCCAGUACCAGGGCCUCUGCUGUUUGGUCUUCACUCUCUCUUCCUUGGAGGGAAAGCUACAAGAGACUCUCUUUUUAAUUCCUUGAGUACCCUUUGCCCCACUUCCAAGAGAGGACAGCAAGUCCCCUGACACUGCAAAUUUCAUUUGAGCCUAGGGAGCUGGGAAAACAGUUGGGCCUAGUCUGUUUUUGAAUUGCAUUGCAUUGAGUUGUACCGGUAUUGCACAGCCCUGCGUGUGAGCCAGAUGUAACACUCCAAGCAGCUGUGAAAUGCAAUGUUCCUUUUGCAGGAGUGGCUGUACCUGCAGAAAGCCCAGGGGUCCACAGUACAGUGCAGGAGAAGCAGCUGAGUUGGCCUGGUCUAAGGAUACCCCCUAGCAAACUUGGCCCUCUCCAUCUGUUCUGGGACUCUAUACUUCCCUAACCUGGAUCCCUGCUCUGCAAUGAGGUGGCCGUGGUUACACCAUCAUCUACCCUCUAGCUAGGGAUGAGGUGGAGGUAAAAUGCUCCCUGUGAGUUUGCAAGCUCUGAAAACAACACCGCUGUGUGCUCAUUCUUAGAGUGAAGACCCUGAAAGGUAUCCCUUUGCAGCCUGUCUCCUGUUUUGAGCCCUUUAGGGGUAACUCAUUUGUAAAACCACCAGCCUGAGCUCAAGGAUGAGGCCACAGGGCUCUGGUGGACUUCAAAUCCCAGCUUUACCGUCAUCACUGUUCAGUUUUCUUCGAAGGUACGGAUGAGGAGAAAUCUUCUAUGAGCAACUCCGUGCUGUCUGCCUAGGAAUCCUUCAGUGGUAUGGGACACUCCUCAAGUGAGCCAAAUGCCCGUUCUUUCUCCCUUCCUUGAACUCCAGGUCCUGUGCUGUGUCUGUACUCAGCCAUGUGUGUUUUGUCUGCUGUCUGUCUUCUGAGGCUUAGCAUCUGUCAGGGCUGGGGUUGGUUCAGCCCUUGGUACUCCAGAUGUGGUUCCAGGCUCCCUUGUGGGAGCUGGACCGGUCUGGGUUUAAUCUCCCACAAUAAAGAUAAACCCCACGGACCUCACUGCUACUGCUGCCUCCAUUAACGCUGUGCUCACACAUUGUCUGGGAUUUUAAGGAUGUCAAACUGCUGUAGAUGACUCAAUAAAUGUCUUAUCGUU
rnacentral:lncRNA from 1 species